UAGUCUCUAUCCUCAGUUCUUUUUCUCAUGCAAUACCCAUUUGCAAUUUUCUAUGUAGAACAAGGAAGGGGACCCUGGAUAUGUCCCAGGGCAGAUUCAUCCUGUGUCUUCAGCAAAGAAGUGUCCUGAGGGAAAAGCAGUUACAACAAAGUGGACAGUCCUCUUCAUCAAACGAAGACCAGAAAUGGGUCCCCCUUGAAGGAAUUCCCCACCUAAGGAAAAUGAGGCACAACUUUGUUCCUUCAAGCUACCCAACCACAGAGCACAG
rnacentral:lncRNA from 12 species